UGGGGAAUUUUGGACAAUGGGCGAAAGCCUGAUCCAGCAAUGCCGCGUGCAGGAUGAAGGCCUUCGGGUUGUAAACUGCUUUUGUACGGAACGAAAAGCUUCGGGUUAAUACCCUGGAGUCAUGACGGUACCGUAAGAAUAAGCACCGGCUAACUACGUGCCAGCAGCCGCGGUAAUACGUAGGGUGCAAGCGUUAAUCGGAAUUACUGGGCGUAAAGCGUGCGCAGGCGGUCUUGUAAGACAGAGGUGAAAUCCCCGGGCUCAACCUGGGAACGGCCUUUGUGACUGCAAGGCUGGAGUGCGGCAGAGGGGGAUGGAAUUCCGCGUGUAGCAGUGAAAUGCGUAGAUAUGCGGAGGAACACCGAUGGCGAAGGCAAUCCCCUGGGCCUGCACUGACGCUCAUGCACGAAAGCGUGGGGAGCAAACAGG
rnacentral:rRNA from 1 species